GACGAACGCUGGCGGCGUGCUUAACACAUGCAAGUCGAACGGAAAGGCCCUGCAUUUGUGGGGUGCUCGAGUGGCGAACGGGUGAGUAACACGUGAGUAACCUGCCCUUGACUUUGGGAUAACUUCAGGAAACUGGGGCUAAUACCGGAUAGGAGCUCCUGCUGCAUGGUGGGGGUUGGAAAGUUUCGGCGGUUGGGGAUGGACUCGCGGCUUAUCAGCUUGUUGGUGGGGUAGUGGCUUACCAAGGCUUCGACGGGUAGCCGGCCUGAGAGGGUGACCGGCCACAUUGGGACUGAGAUACGGCCCAGACUCCUACGGGAGGCAGCAGUGGGGAAUAUUGCACAAUGGGCGGAAGCCUGAUGCAGCAACGCCGCGUGCGGGAUGACGGCCUUCGGGUUGUAAACCGCUUUCGCCUGUGACGAAGCGUGAGUGACGGUAAUGGGUAAAGAAGCACCGGCUAACUACGUG
rnacentral:rRNA from 1 species